UAAGUUCAUAUCUAACUUUUUUUAAUAAUACCGUGAUAAACAAAUAGACAAUAAUAAUGCUAUUUUUAGCAUAGUGCGAAUGACCCGCGUUCGAAGUGUAAGGUCAUAAAAAUAGUGGAAUGAGAUAGUGUUCCACAACCAAGAGCCGUCUCAGUAAGCAGCUUAACAGGAGAAACCACUGAUAUUUACGAUCCCCCAUACGUAGUCCUACAUCGAUGUGGUCAAUCUGGCUGCUGUCCUAGCGAAGAACAGAGUUGUCGACCAGACAAAACAGUCACCGUAGAAUUGGAAGUCAAAACAUGGAUGGAUGAGCCAUUAAUAAUAAGAGCAAAAAAUCACACGUCCUGUGCUUGUCUGGACACUGCUGGACCCAUUAAAUAAAUAGAUUGUGUAAUUUAUUAUCGAAAGCAUCCGUUUAAAGUGCAAAUGGUUCCUAGAAUAGCAACUGAUAUUAUGACGUACGGAUAUUCUUUAUACAUGGUGUUGGUUGGUACAAAAAGUUCGCUGGGAUAGGGAAAGUUUCCUAUUUUUUACUGUUGGAGUGAAGUAAUUCCGCAUAAAACUUGAUUCAAUUACUCAGUUAUAUUUUUUACGUUUGUUGCGAACUUUAUGCUGCACCCUGUAUAUCACCUUGACUUAUAGAAAAAUAGUAUUAUGAUUUUUUGUUUUUUUAUCGUUAUAUUUGCUAGAUUUUAGUAUAUUAUUUAUUUUUUAUUUAUAUAAAAAUGUUACUUUAAUUACUGAGUUACUGAUCUCCAAGUCAUCUUAGGUUUUAUAUUAUAAAAAUAAAAAAAAAAUAUCCAGGUGCAUUAUUAGAACUCUUUAUCAGCUUUGCCAUAAUUUAAUGAAAUAAUACGUAGUUAUAGUUAAUAAUAAACAUAUAAAAUUAAUUAUUUUCAAAAUGUAUCGAUAUUUUCAGAUAUCAAAAAUUUUCAAAAAGAUUUGUUGUGUUAAAACUUCAAGAACAUUACGCAAAUUAACGAUGGUUUUUGACUAGUUUGCGAACUAAAUUCAUGGUAUUUAGAUAAAGUUUGAACUUAAUAUUCUAUAUAAUAUCAUAAUAACCUAAUAACCAUCUCUUUGGUUAAUAGAACUAACCAAUUACAAUUAGAUAAUUUCUAACGUGUAUGACAAAUGUUGUGCGUUGUAUUGUGAACUGUUUAUACCUUCUGAAAUCUCUUGAAAUAUGCUUGAAUCUGGUUAUUACAAAGUGAUUAAUGAUGAUUCAAAUAAAUAAAUGAAAAAUCUAUUUUUGCAAGUUUACAAAUUACUGGUAGAAUUCAGAAUUAAUUAAAGAUUGUAAUUAUUACAGUUACAGUUUAUAUAUGAACAUUUUAAUUGUAAAUAUACAUCCUUUAACAUAUCAUACUGUUAUAAAACUAAUAGUUAUCUAUACAAUACCCUUAAAUUAUAGUAUAUGUAUUUUGUGAUACAUCUUUCUAUAUGAACUUGUGUCUUACCUUGUGUGAUUACACAUGGUAAGACACGACUUAAGUAGUAAGUUGGGUAGUAAAGUAAGACUUACUUAGUUUCUAUAUAAACUUGUUACUUACUUGUGUGAUUAGAUAUUAAUAAUUUUAUGUAUUAUGUAAAUAUACCAAAGACAAUCUUGAAGAUUUUCUAAGAUUGAAAUGUGACUAUUUUUAUUAAAUAUUAAAUUAUUGUGUUUGUGGAAGUUUUAAACUAGCAAUAAUGUGUGUGGCAUAUAGAUGUUAGUAAUUGUUGUUUGUUUCUAUUUAUUUCUAGUAUUAGGUAAUUUAUUCUGUUUUGUAUUUUGUAAUA
rnacentral:misc_RNA from 1 species